rnacentral:rRNA from 1 species
GUCUAAAGCCAUACCACUCUGAAUUCCCCCGACCUCAGAAGCUGAGCAGGGUUGGUCAUGGCUAGUGCUUGGAUGGCACAGAGGGAUCCACAGCAUCAGGGAUUAUCCUGGAGUCC